CCAGAGAACUUAGCAGAGAUGCUUGGUGCCUUCGGGAACUCUGAGGACAGGUGCUGCAUGGCUGUCGUCAGCUCGUGUUGUGAAAUGUUGGGUUAAGUCCCGCAACGAGCGCAACCCUUAUCCUUUGUUGCCAGCGAUUCGGUCGGGAACUCAAAGGAGACUGCCGGUGAUAAACCGGAGGAAGGUGGGGAUGACGUCAAGUCAUCAUGGCCCUUACGGCCAGGGCUACACACGUGCUACAAUGGCGCAUACAAAGAGAAGCGACCUCGCGAGAGCAAGCGGACCUCAUAAAGUGCGUCGUAGUCCGGAUUGGAGUCUGCAACUCGACUCCAUGAAGUCGGAAUCGCUAGUAAUCGUAGAUCAGAAUGCUACGGUGAAUACGUUCCCGGGCCUUGUACACACCGCCCGUCACACCAUGGGAGUGGGUUGCAAAAGAAGUAGGUAGCUUAACCUUCGGGAGGGCGCUUACCACUUUGUGAUUCAUGACUGGGGUGAAGUCGUAACAAGGUAGGCGUAGUGCU
rnacentral:rRNA from 1 species